UCGUGAUGCUUAGCCUUUAACAAUAAAGUUUUUCAAGAGUAUACAGAGACUAUCAACAUAAAAAAAAACUAAUAAAAGAUAAAACAAAACAAAAACUCAGGAUACAGUUUUAUGAUGCGACAUCUAUGGAAGAAAUGCAGCCAUGGUAUCUUGUUUUGAACUUUUAACACCGAUGUCAUGGUUUGGUUCGGUAUCCAGUUGCGGUGGCUGAUUAAGAAAAAAAAAAGAAAAAAAGUCGAGCGCUUGAGAUAUUAAGUCGAGAA